GCCGGGUUGCCAGAGAAAACACAGGACAUCCAGUGAAGUCAGGUGCCUCCUGACCCAGCAGACCCCCAUGAGCCCAGAUCCCUGAGACCUGGUGGCUGCCAUUAUGACAUUCCCCGACUGCAUCUUAGGACCCAAGUCUGACCCCCUGCAGGAUCUGCAGCUGUGUUACAGGAAAGGGGACCCGAUCCAGACCCCAAGGGAGGGUUCUUGAAUCUCGUGCAAGAAACAACUCGGGAUGCAGUUGCUGUGGUUCACACACCUCUGGCAGCUGGGCUCCUUGGGAUCUCCUGACAUUCUGUGCCCUCUGUGCCCUCCUCCCUCACUGCCAUCGCUGUCUUCCUGAGCC